GUGGGAGGCAAGCGUUAUUGAUCUUAAAUGGGUCUAAAGGGUCCGUAAAACGGUAAAUUAAGCGAAUAGGGAAAAGGGCAAUCCCAUCCCUAGUAUAAUCGAACUGGUUUACUAGAGUCUUAUAGAGGAACAGAGGAAUUACAAGAGUAAGGAUGAAAUCUAUUGAUACUUGCAGGACCGCCAAAGGCGAAGGCAUCGUUCCAGGUAAAGACUGACGUUGAGGGACGUAGGCGUUGGGAGCGAAAAGGAUUAGAUACCCCUGUAGUCAACGCUGUAAACGAUGAGUGCUUAAGAUUAGUAAAAAAAAUAAAUUAGUCUCGAAAUGAAGAUGUUAAGCACUUCACCUGGGGAGUACUGUCGCAAGGCUGAAACCCAAAACAUUAGACGGUCACGGAAACCAGCAGUGAAGCAUGUUAUUUAAUACGAUGAUCCGCGUACAACCUUACCACUUCUUGAAUGUCCUUUUCUGUAAAAAAAAAAGGCCUAUUUAAUUAAAGAAAAAAAAAGGGCUAAAUUAAACUUAAAUAGUUUAAUUUCUUUCGCGCUAAUAAUAAAACAUUAAUUAAAUUUGGAUAAAUACAACAGGCGUUGCAUGGCUGUCUUCAGUUCGUGUCGUGAGAUGUCAGGUUCAUUCCGCUAAACGAAUGAAACCCUUCUUUCUUAAUUUUAUCAUUUGAAAAAAAAAACAAAAAAAUCAAAUUUAUUAAGAUGACCCUUGGAAAACGAGGAUAUAAUGGGGAUUAAGACAAGUCGUCAUGGCCUUUAUGAAGUGGGCUAUAGACGUGCCACAAAAGCUUUUACAAUAGGAUGCUAAGACGUAAGUCAGCGCUAAACCUCAAAAAAAGCUAUGUUCGGAUUGUAGUCUGCAACUCGACUACAUGAAGCAGGAAUUGCUAGUAAUCGUAAAUCAGGACGUUACGGUGAAGUCUUAAAUCUGUGAUGUACUAACUACUCGUCAAGCGCGGAAAGGUGCGUGGCCCCGAAGAGGUUAUCUUUUUUUCGCUAUUAACGUAAA
rnacentral:rRNA from 1 species